CAGUCGCCACGGUAAUACGGAGGGAGCUAGCGUUGUUCGGAAUCACUGGGCGUAAAGCGCACGUAGGCGGCUAUUCAAGUCAGGGGUGAAAGCCCGGGGCUCAACCCCGGAACUGCCUUUGAAACUAGAUAGCUUGAAUCUUGGAGAGGCGAGUGGAAUUCCGAGUGUAGAGGUGAAAUACGUAGAUAUUCGGAAGAACACCAGUGGCGAAGGCGACUCGCUGGACAAGUAUUGACGCUGAGGUGCGAAAGCGUGGGGAGCAAACAGGAUUAGAGACCCCUGUAGUCCCUGUCUCUUAUAC
rnacentral:rRNA from 1 species